rnacentral:rRNA from 1 species
AUUGAACGCUGGCGGCAGGCCUAACACAUGCAAGUCGAACGAGUGGCGGACGGGUGAGUAAUGUCUGGGAAACUGCCUGAUGGAGGGGGAUAACUACUGGCAACGGUAGCUAAUACCGCAUACCAUCAGAUGUGCCCAGAUGUGAUUAGCUAGUUGGUGGGGUAACGGCUCACCAAGGCGACGAUCCCUAGCUGGUCUGAGAGGAUGACAAGCCACACUGGAACUGAGACACGGGCCAGAGUCCUACGGGAGGCAGAAGUUGGGAAUAUUGCACAAUGGGCGCAAGCCUGAUGCAGCCAUGCCGCGUGUAUGAAGAAGGCCUUCGGGUUGUAAAGUACUUUCAGCGGGGAGGCGUUACCAGCAGAAUAAGCACCGGCUAACUCCGUGCAAGCAGCCGCGGUAAUUC